rnacentral:rRNA from 1 species
GACGAACGCUGGCGGCGUGCCUAAUACAUGCCAGUAGAACGCUGAAGGAGGAGCUUGCUUCUCUGGAUGAGUUGCGAACGGGUGAGUAACGCGUAGGUAACCUGCCUGGUAGCGGGGGAUAACUAUUGGAAACGAUAGCUAAUACCGCAUAAUAGCAGUUAUUGCAUGAUAACUGUUUGAAAGGUGCAAUUGCACCACUACCAGAUGGACCUGCGUUGUAUUAGCUAGUUGGUGGGGUAACGGCUCACCAAGGCGACGAUACAUAGCCGACCUGAGAGGGUGAUCGGCCACACUGGGACUGAGACACGGCCCAGACUCCUACGGGAGGCAGCAGUAGGGAAUCUUCGGCAAUGGACGGAAGUCUGACCGAGCAACGCCGCGUGAGUGAAGAAGGGUUUCGGAUCGUAAAGCUCUGUUGUAAGAGAAGAACGAGUGUGAGAGUGGAAAGUUCACACUGUGACGGUAUCUUACCAGAAAGGGACGGCUAACUACGUG